rnacentral:rRNA from 1 species
UACGUAGGGUGCGAGCGUUGUCCGGAAUUACUGGGCGUAAAGAGCUCGUAGGUGGUUUGUCACGUCGUCUGUGAAAUUCCGGGGCUUAACCUCGGGCGUGCAGGCGAUACGGGCAAUACUUGAGUGCUGUAGGGGAGACUGGAAUUCCUGGUGUAGCGGUGAAAUGCGCAGAUAUCAGGAGGAACACCAAUGGCGAAGGCAGGUCUCUGGGCCACUACUGACGCUGAGAAGCGAAAGCAUGGGGAGCGAACAGGAUUAGA